UACAGAGGUCUCAAGCGUUGUUCGGAUUCAUUGGGCGUAAAGGGCGCGUAGGCGGCUUUGCAAGUGGCGGGUGAAAUCCCUCGGCUUAACCGAGGAACUGCCUGUCAAACUGCAUGACUUGAGACCAGGAGAGGUGAGUGGAAUUCCCAGUGUAGCGGUGAAAUGCGUAGAUAUUGGGAGGAACACCAGUGGCGAAGGCGGCUCACUGGACUGGUACUGACGCUGAUGCGCGAAAGCGUGGGGAGCAAACAGG
rnacentral:rRNA from 1 species